UCCCUGGUAGCUCAGAUGGUAAAGCGUCUGCCUGCAAUGCAGGAGACCCAGGUUUGAUCCCUGGGUUGGGAA
rnacentral:tRNA from 1 species